rnacentral:rRNA from 1 species
GGAUUAGAUACCCUGGUAGUCCACGCCCUAAACGAUGUCAACUAGUUGUUGGGAAAGGAGACUUUCUUAGUAACGUAGCUAACGCGUGAAGUUGACCGCCUGGGGAGUACGGCCGCAAGGUUAAAACUCAAAGGAAUUGACGGGGACCCGCACAAGCGGUGGAUGAUGUGGAUUAAUUCGAUGCAACGCGAAAAACCUUACCUACCCUUGACAUGUACGGAACUUGGCAGAGAUGCCUUGGUGCCCGAAAGGGAGCCGUAACACAGGUGCUGCAUGGCUGUCGUCAGCUCGUGCCG